ACGGCCACACCUAGGCGAAAACACCAGUUCCCGUCCGAUCACUGCAGUUAAGCGUCUGAGGGCCUCGUUAGUACUAUGGUUGGAGACAACAUGGGAAUCCGGGGUGCUGUAGGUU
rnacentral:rRNA from 2 species